GCGGUAAGUGAAAAUAUUUUUGUAGUAUGGUUUGAAAUUGAUGUUUUUCUCACUUUUUUACGAUAAAAAAAUGCAGGGUCUUGCUGGGCAUUUUCGGCUGUGGCAGCUAUGGAAGGAAUUACUCAGCUAUCAACUGGGAAGCUAAUCUCUCUUUCUGAACAAGAGCUGGUUGACUGUGACACUAGUGGGGAAGAUCAAGGCUGCAAUGGUGGUCUAAUGGACGAUGCCUUCAAAUUCAUAGAACAAAAUCAUGGUCUCGCCACCGAAGCUAACUACCCCUACGCGGGAACUGAUGGCACCUGCAACCGCAAGAAGGCAGCCCACCCUGCAGCCAAGAUAAAUGGGUAUGAAGAUGUGCCAGCCAACAAUGAGAAGGCUCUGCAAAAGGCUGUUGCCCACCAACCUAUUGCUGUUGCCAUUGAUGCUGGGGGGUUUGAGUUCCAAUUCUAUUCAAGUGGUGUGUUUACAGGACAGUGUGGCACAGAACUAGACCACGGUGUUGCUGCUGUUGGUUACGGAACCAGCGAUGAUGGGAUGAAGUAUUGGCUGGUGAAGAACUCAUGGGGCACAGGAUGGGGUGAAGUAGGUUACAUACGGAUGCAAAGGGAUGUGACUGCAAAGGAAGGUCUCUGUGGAAUUGCAAUGCAAGCAUCUUACCCCACCGCAUAAAAUUAAUUGAAAAAAGGCAAUCCCUACUAUCCUGUGGUUAAUCAAUUACAAGAUAUGUUGCGCUGAUAAUUUCUAGUCUAUAGUUGUGUAUAAUUCAGCAAGGAUGCCCUGUGGUCAAAAGAGUCCAUAAAAUUAUGUAUGGACCAUAAUAUAUAAAUAUGAACGUACACCUUCAGUUGGUUCCUUCCUAUUUCUGUGUUUUGAAUGAGAAAUGACAGGGGAUCUCAUACUAAAAGUAUCAGACUAAAUAAAGUAAAAGAAUAAGGAUGGAAAAUGACACCAAAAAAAGAAAGACAAUUUUUUUGUUAACAUUGCAAUACCCAAACCAAUUUCUUAGCUUUAUGCAACUCACCAAGAUCACCACUAGCAAGCAAAGAUAUCAUCAACAUACAUAGUCGAAAAUACAAAUUUGGUCUUAUAUAUACAACAAUCAACAGUGUUUCUUAAUUCAAAGGAAGUUACUAUAUCAUUCAACUUAAGAUACAAUUGUUGAGAAGCUUGUUUAUGUAGGGAAUACUUGGAUUAUUCCAUUCCCUAUCCUAGGACUAGUUAAAGUGCAUGCAAUACUUCCUAGGGCCUCUAGAUCUUAGCAACAUAAUUAGCAACAAAUAUAAAAAAACAAUCAAGAUCUAGAGUUUAGUACUUUACCUCACGUAUAUCUUGGGUGUUUCUAGAUAUAAUCUAGUUGGUGAAGAGGAGUGUCAAAGCCGUUGCAGUUGUUGUAGAUAUCAUGAACCCACUGAUCUUUUGCCACGAUGACUCUCUUUGAAUCUCAAUACUGGAGGGGUGGAAUUUUCUCUCACUAGGGUUGGUGGAUGACCUAUUAUGGAAUGUAUGCACGAAUGCUGAUAAAAAGGACGAAGGCUAGCUACACAAUAUCUAAGCAUAAUAUGGCAUAUAUAGAAACUUUUGACAAUCCCAUGGACAAACUUGCAUGCUAAGAAUUAAUGAAUUUGCAAGUCUUAUUGAUAAAAGAAUUCAUAGCCUCACAAAAUAUUUCAAAGUGCACAUUUGUUUUUUAGAACUAAUUUCUUUCAAAUACAAAGAUGUUAGUUCCAUCUAUAAUUAAAUAAGGGAAAAAAAUGAGUUGUUGUAAAGUUUUCUCUUAAUAAUUUUUUGUUAAUCAUUCAUGAAAGCAAAAAAAUCAUAAUUCCAAAAAAAAAUUGAAUAUCAUGACUUUUGCUAACAUAAAUAUAAUUAAGUUAUUAGAUAUACCUUGAUCCAUAAUUGAAACUUUGUUUCAAAUGAGGACCUUUAACAUCAAUCCAUGGAAAAUUGAUACCUCUCUCUUAGCCCUAUUAAUUUUUUUAUACAAUAAUAAUUAAUAUCAUGUAAUGAUGGAUCUAUUACUUUUAUAGGUUGAGAGAGGAUGAGUUUCAGAUCACAAACAAUUUACUUUCCAUCAAAGUAAAAUUCCAUAAGGAAACAUUACUGGAACACAAUACAAUAGACAAAUUCAUACUUAAAUAAGUUAUCAUAAAUAUUAUAGUUAAUUAGAAUACUAAUGUGAGUCAUGGCAGUUGUUUGUCAUUUACUGUAACACAUUUUCUUCUAUAUACAAACUAGCAAUCUAAGUAACUCGGUCUAUAAAUGGGAAGUAAUCAUAAAUGUCCACAAUAAUGUCUUUGUCACAUACUACUCCUAUAAUCAUUCAUUUAAUCUCUUAUAUGGACACAAAAGGGAAGAUAAGAAACAUCAAUACCACAUUAUUUACUUGAAAAUGUCACUUAAUAAUCAUAAUGCAGAUCUACAAGUUAUUAUUUAAUAAUCACAGCAAAGACUCAUCCUUUCCAUGUAUUCCUUAAAUGUCUCUGAUGGCAAUCUUUUCAUCAAUGGAUAAGCAAUCAUAAACUUCAAUUUUAUUGGUACUCUUUGUUUUUAGGCCUCCUUUUUAAUGAUAAAUUAUAUAAAUUCUAUGAAUCUCACACCCUUAGAAUAUUUGUGAUUCUUGAAGAAAAAGAUAGUCAGAAUCAUCGCAAUUAAUUUUUACAGGCUUUACAAUAGCGUUGACGAAUUUAAGUUCUAAAAUAAUGUUCCACAACACCACAUUUCAUGAAUUGUAACCUCAAAAAAAUCAAAAGAUUUGAAUUCCAUAGUAGAUGAAGCUGUGAAAAAAUAUUUCACACUUUUUCAUGAGAUUGCUCCUCUAGCUAGCUAGAGUAAAUAAACAAAAGUGGACUUUUUUCUAUCAAGACAUCUAGAAAAAUCUGAAUUUAAUAUCUAAUCACUCCUAAAUGAUCAAAUCUCUUAAAUUUGAGCAUGUACUCUUUCAUUCCUAGUAGAUACUUCAGUAGCUUCUAUACAAUUUUUAAUGAUCCAUCCUUGGAUUACUUUAUUAUUUGCUCAACAUGCUUACCACAAAGCUGAUGUUUAGAUUGUUGCAAAUUUGGGUAUACAUCAAACUUCCUACAACACAUAAAUGAGGGAUUCUUUCCAUUUGUUUGUAUUUUAAAUCAUUUCUUGCACAUCAUAUGAGACUAAACUUAUCCCUUUCUAUAUUAAUGCAAUAGUUGCGAAACAAUUUUCCAUUCCAAAUCUUUCUAGGACUCUAUAUAUUCUUACAUGCAUUUUGAGAUAAUCCUAAUAAUUCAUGUGACCUAUCCUAUAAUAUUUCAAUUCCAAUCACACAAGCUAGCUCCCCCAUAUCUUUCAAAGAUUUCACUACAAGAAAAAAGAGAAACAAUGACGUUUAUUAAGUGUCAAGAAAGAGGAAAGAUGGCGCUUCUCUAAAGCGUCAUCUUCCGGCCUGUCAUUGUAUAUAUUAGCCAACAAUGACGCUUUUAAGAAGCGUCAUCUUUAAUUAUGCUUUCAACGACACUUAAGAAAGUGUCAUCUUUGAAUAAUAUUAACAAUGACACUCGUAUAAGUGUCAUAAUUGAAUACUUUCUAUUGAAAUAUUUUUUGCAAAAUUACCAAUUUUGACAGUUAUAAGAACGUCAUCUUUGAAUAGUUUUAUCAAUGACACUUCUAAAAGCAUCAUCUUUGAACACUUGCUAUUAAAAAUAAUAUUUAUAUCCUCUUAUUAAAAUAAAAAAUUUCCUGUAUAAUUAAAUAAAAAACAAUUAAAAGUCAUAAACCGAAUUCAAAUUUUACUAAUUAAAAUAUCUUCAAAUAUGGAUGUAAAAUAACUUAGUUCGAAUAAUUAAUAUAACUAGUUUAUAUACAAUAAUUACAUCCAAAUUUAUUAAUCAUAUCAAAAUAUUUCAACAACAAUUUCUAAGUCCUUCAAUAAAAGAACAAACAUGAAUGCAAUGACGAUUAAGAUAAACCAUAAUCUACAAAAACCUAAUUUAACCUCCUAAUGAGUUCAUUGAUCAAUGUAAUCUUCGUGGUUUUUGUCAUCAUGCCUUCAUCAAUAUAAUGAUUUCUCUUCUUUCAACAAACUAGUUUCCUUUGCAACCUGUAACAAAGAUAGGAAGGAUAGAAAAUUUCUAAAUUAUACAUGCAAUGACCAAUAAGUAUAAUUGAAAUUAUGACUUUUUACAAAUGUUUAAGAAAAAUAUAAUAGUUAGAACCAAUAUCAAAUGAAAUGUGGAAAAAAAUUGACUCACCUUGGCAUUGAAUUUUAGUUGAAAGCCAAAGAACCCAUUUUCAAUAAUGCAGUCAAGGGAAGAGCAACAAUUGAACCUAAGGAAUCAAUGAUGAUACAUGCAUCAAUAUAGAUCUCAUUAACAAUUAAUCAAAUAGCCUAAAAUUGAUAACCUAAGGAAAUAGAUAAAAUGAAUCAUCCCAUACUAUUCAAGUCAACAUACCUUUCAACCCGCUGCAUACAUUCAAAACAAUAGAAAGAUCUCAAUGCAUAUACCUUAGUAUGGAUUUUAAAUCCUGCUGGAGGUUGCAAAGAAGGAAGGCUAUUGGAGAGUCACUACUAGGCCAAAUCAAGAUAAUUCACUAUUGCUCAAAACAUACAUGACAAUGAUUUUAUUUUUACAUUAAGCAAUCGUGUUGACAACAUUUUCCAUCUAGCACUCCCAACCUAAACUUCAUCCAUCAUCAUUUCCAAGGUUUAUUAGUACCCAUGAGCAAGCAAUUGUUUUGAUUUUAUGUAUUACUAAUUGAUAUUGUAAGUUGUUAUUAGUAUAGCAAAUGAACUUUUGCUUAUUUACUUCUCCUUAUACUAACCAUGGUAAAGGCAUUGGAUAUGGUCCUCAUUUACAAAUAUGGGGUGAAGAAGACAUGCUCUAUGAGGCACAAGUGUAAAUGUUGUGAAGGGUCUCCUCUCCUAUAUUUGCCUGUCCUCGAGCGUCCAUCAGAUUAUACCACAUCAAGGUAUGAUGGAAUACCAUCACCUCAAUAUUAAGGCAAUGGCGCAAUCAUAAUUUAAUUUUUGUUUUCAUAUUAUUUCAUAUUUCUUUUUCACACUACAAAGAAGAAAAACUCCUUUUUCUUUAGAGGAAGAAAAAGUAAGAAAGUAGUAUAAUAAUAUUUUGAUAAUACAUUUUUCAAUUUUUUUUAAAAAAAUAAUUCUAGACUUAUCAUUUAUAAAAAAAAAAUUUAAUAUUUUUACAUUUUAGAAAAGAAAAGAACUAAAAAAAGGAAAAACAAAAUGAAACUUCUCACUGUUUUUGUUUUUAUAAUGAAAGGAAUUUGUAAGAAAAUAAUUAUCAUUUUUGCUAUCAAAUAGGAUCAAAAUAAUGCUCAAAUUUUUAAAAUUUGUGAAUGAUUAAAAGAAUGUCAACAAAUUUUAUACAUAACUUAACACUAAUUCUUGUUUUUAAAAAUAAAAAUAAAAAAAGAAGAAAAGAAAAUAGAAAAUGUAUCCAAACCAUCACUUAACUAUUAAAAUUCUAGUAGUGUACCUGGAGAAAGAUUGAAAACCAAAGGGUGAAAAACUUUAGGGAGACAGAAUCCAAGUAUCAGAAUUGGGCUUCCUGCAAGUUAGUUAACAAAAUUAUGGCAUUUAAUGAGUUGUGUUUCAAGAAGAAAAGAAAAUAUUAACUUUUUUAUUCAUAAAAAAAAUUAGGAACUUAAUUAUUUAUCAAAGCUAAUAACAUAAUUCAUAUAUGAUCCAAAACGGUAAGAAGUUAACAGUCUUCGUUAUCACUAACACCUUUAAGAAGCUCUAAAAUCAAAUCUAUAUUUGAUAAGUUAAAUUUUUUUUAAAAUAAAGAAUAAAAAUUAAAAUUAAAAAUUAAAGGUUUAUCUACAUUUUUCAAAUUCUUUGGAAAAUUUGAAAUUUAAUUUUUUUUUUUUAGUUUUAAAUUUUAUUUAAAACCUUAUAACUUUUUAAUUAACCAUUUAAUACAUUCAUAUCCUUAAAAAUUCCCAUGACAAAAAUAAUUGGAUUGGAUCAUUUAUUUUUUAUGUUGAGUCUGACAACUCUAAUUGCAACUUCUUUUAAUAUUCAUUCUCAAUAGAUUGAACAUCAUGAAAAAACAAUAGACCCAGGAAUCUAGCACUAUAUAAAGCUAUCUAAUUACAUCAUGACACUAUUGUUUGAACAUCUAGCAGGCAAAAACAUCUUAAUUUCAAUCUGUUUAAGAUACAUGGAAGAAUUCUUUUAAACAUUCAGCAAGUAGUGAAUUCAAUGAUCAAUUAUUUUAGACUUACAAAUUGAUAACCAACUUGAAAUUUAUGUUUUCUAUCCAAAACAUCAAAACCAUUAAUGCUCUAUUUAUCUCAAUAAAUAUUUUAUAAAAAGUAAAAAAUUUAUUCAUGGAUUUUGAAAUUUUAAUGAAGAAAUCCCAAAUUAGAAUCAACAUUCUUAAAUUGUUCAACAUAAUUCAACACUUAAUCCUUCUUUUGUUUCAUCUGUAUUACUUUUGUACUUUUCAAUUUCAUUUGUUCUAGGUUUUUCCCUAAUUAUACUUAUAUUUGUUAAAUAAAGAGAGAAUAUAAGAGUCAAGUAUCAACAUUAUUUCAUCCUUAAGUUCCCAAAUUAUCCCUCAUUAUUCCUAUAUUUGUUAAAUAAAGAGAAAAUAUAAUAACCUAAAAUCAACACUAUUUCAUAUCUUAAGUUCCCAAAUCAUGAAAUUAUCACCAUGCCACAAACAUAACAAUGAGAAAAAAAAAAGGUCAUAAAAGUUCCAACAUGGUGCCAAACUCCUUGACAAAAACCAACCAAACUAAUUGCUUUGAUCACUAUGAAGGAAAAUAUGAUAAUCCUUUUUGCCCAUGUAUGUAUGCAAUGGCCUGUUCUAGAGAUAGGAUUUCAAUCACACGUAUACCAAAGCACCGUAGGUUACUUGAAUCAAUAAUAUCUCAAAAGUCAACAAGAGCACAUGGUACAACUAUCAAGAAUAAAUAGUGAUAGGAUACAUAAAACAAAAAACUAUAACUUACCUGGUGUAAUUCUUUGAGCUCACCCUCAACAAAUCUAAAGUUAUCUGUGGGGAUGUACCACAGACAUCUCUAAAGGCAACUCCACUAUUGGGGCAUAAUACAUUAGUAAGAAUAAAAAAAUUAAUGAAGUAAAUAAAAAUGGGUAAUUAUUGAUCUGAUACCUUCUCUAUCAUGGCAUCAAUCUCUAUAUUGGGUGGGAAUUGGUGCAGCAAAAGAUAAACCCUGCAAAUAUAGACACCAAACAAUCUCAGCAUAAAAGAAAACAAAAUUCCAAAGAUAAACAAAUUGAUUCGAUACCUUUUUGAGUCCCUCUCUGCAACAGCUAUUAAGUGAGAUUUUGAUGCUCUGUUCACUCACGAUAUGAGCAACCCAACUAAAACAAUCCAAGGUCAUUGCACAGAAUUUGAUCAUUGGCAUGUUUCAAAAUAUUUUACCCAUUCCAAAUAUCAAUUAAAUUUAUGAACAAUUUUAAAAAUCUAUGAAUUCUAAAUAAUUUAUAAACAACACAAUUUAAAAAAAUAUGAAAAUUUUCAACUUGAUUCCACAAAAAUGUAAAAACUCCUUCCAAAUAGCCUAACCUAGGAAGUCACGAAUUCAUAUCCACAGUCCCAAUUUCUAAAAUCUUCCAAUUAAAAAAUUUUCACUUUUGCCAAAACUUUUUGCUUUUCACUGUAGGAUGUCUAAUUUCCACGUCUAUGCUGCCUUUAGCGACUACCAUUACCAUAAAACUUCCUCUUUUUCCAACCCAUAGACUCGUCUCUUUAGUUGGCCAUUUGAUCUUUACUACAUUGACCCCAAAAUAAAUCUUCUUCACAAAUACAGAAAACAUUACCUAAAUAUAAAGAAUUCAGCUGACCAGGCAAAUUGUGAACCCAUACACAAUAUUAAAAAUUCCAGUAUCAAACAUCUGCAAAAGACUACUUACCAAGCACCUGUUGAGCAAUCAACUGCUUUCUGGGAUCCUGCUCCAACAUUUGCCUAACAAGGCUCUUUGCAUUAUCAGAAAUUUGCGGCCAAGGUUCCCUCUUAAAAUCAAUCACCCCCUUAAAAUUGUCAAAGCAACACCCUGUUCCGUCUCUACAAAAAGAGCCAAAAACAAAAAAGCAAACAACUUCAUAAUCAAAUCUAACAAUUACAGACAUACUCACAAUUCAAGAACCACAAAGUACCUGCCCAAAAUGGAGGAACUCCACAUAGCAAAAUAUAAAGAAUCACUCCAGCACUCCAUAUAUCCACUUCAGGCCUAUAAUUUCGCUUCAAAACCUCAGGCGCCAUAUAGUACGAACUCCCCACAAUCUCUGAGAACCUUACACCUACGUCCAACAAAACCUUAAAUUUCUGUAAACAACCAAAAACCCAUAAACAAAGAAGCAAAAUGAAUCCACGCCAAAACCAUACCAGGCCGGAAAACACUGAUAGCCCAAAACCUCCACAUCUUGAUAGCUUCAAAAUCAGAUUUGCAUGGGUCUUGAAAUGAAAACCUCCACAUCUUCUAGUAGCUUCACAAAAGAGACGAUCUUGAAAAUGAAAACCCCAAAUAGCUCUAGUUUAUGACCAACUACAUGUUGUCACUUCACAAUGUGAUGAAUCACCUCGAAAUUGCCUUCUGCCUCACUUCUUAUUUGUUCCCAUUCAAAUCUAUGAGAUUCCAUUCCCUAAAAGUCAAGAGAAAUAUAGAUCGAGGUGUGAAUAUGGUACUCUUCCAAGGGUUACGGUUUUUGAUAGGGAGUGAAGGCUUAGGGUUUUUUAUGCUCUGAGGGUUUGGGUCUUCUAAGGGCUUUUAUACUCACAUCUAGUAUGAUGUGUAAGAAAAUGGCCAAGGUUUAUCGGGUUGUGAAAUAUGCUUUUUGCGGGUGCAAAUAAUUCAAUGAAGGGAAUAAAAAAUAUUAAAUAUUGUGUUAAAAAGUACAUGACGCUUGUGAGAAGUGCCAAGGAUGCGUGUUGAUGUUUGUACACAAUGACACUUAAAAAUAGGCGCCAACGUCUUUAAGCAUAUUCAGCUCAAUGACAGUUAUAAAGCGCCAUAGUAAACGAGCGCCAACAUUUGUGUAUAUCCAACUAAAUAAUGACGCUUUUUUAAAAGCGCCAAGGAUAUAAGCGUCCUUGUUUUGGUUUUUUGUAGUAGUGUUUUUAGAUGCUUAGUUGCCUAGAAUGUCUAUGAAAAUUGAGAAAAUUGGAAAUUUAGCAUCCUAAAUUAGUGUUAAAGGAAAUUAUUUAUAAAAAUAAUAAAUCAAACAAACAACUUUUUAUUUCUCUACUAUUUUCCUAGCAACCAAACAUAGUUUAAUGAAAACACAAAAAGAUAGAGUUUUCUUCUAUUCAUGCCCCCCAUGGGUUAUUAUAUUCCUUUCUAAUGAGUUUGGGGCAUCUAACUCUAAUGGGUUAGGGCAUUAGAUCCUAUGUUCCCUUACAAAUUUGUAAUCACCAUCCAAUCCUAGGAGAAAGAGGGAUAUGAUGAAGGUCAUUCGUCUAUCUUCUCUAUGAUGGUGUUGUAGUGUCCUUUGGUGGGUUUAGGGCUAUGAAACAGUGCCCCCAUUUUAAUCAAAGGUAUGUUUGGAUUUAAUCAGACUUAGUUAAUGUUUGGUUUUAAUGUUUUAGAGAUCAUGUUGCCAUGUCAACAACCAAUCAACUAUUAUAUGAAAUAUGAUGUGACAUCUUAUAAGGGUAUUUUUUACCCUUACUUUUUAUAGCCUUCACAUCAAUUAUGGAACUUAUGUGAAUGUUGGACUAAUUAUUACCCCCUUCUAUCCCUAAAUUAUAUGAUAUUCCAUUAAUUUUGGUUUAAUAUAGGUCGUGAUUUGCUUUCAACACCCUCUUACGAAAUCUAUGGAAUAUCAUGAUAAUACACUAAAAUUCUUUUCCAAUGGUUGGGCAUUCAAUCAUCAAGCAUCCAUUGUUUUAUAUGAUGAGAAACCAUUCUCUUAUAUUUAUGGAUGACACGGUACGGUGAUGCACCAAAGAGGACAAGAGCAUCCUCCUAAUAACGGUGAUGCACCAAAGAGGACAAGAACAUCCUCCUAAUAGCACGUAGUUCAACACUAGAGCAAUUAAUACAAAAAGAAAACAUCCUAAACUACAAAUAAUUUAGGAUUCCAGACACGAACUAUCUAGAGAUUUAUAUACAGAAGAGAACAAUUCUAGUAAUAAUUUAACCAACUAAUAUUAAACAAAGUAGCUGAUGGAGAUGGGUCCAAAUCACAACAUUUUAAUUUCCAAGGCACGUAGAUAAGCGUAUUGAAGGUUUUCCUUGGCAGUAUUAUUUGAGAUCGGUGUGUUAUGGGAGGGAAUUUUUCCUAUAUAAACCCCUGCUGGAAUCUCCGAGUGUAUCAAUCUGCUUACUCAUUUAAUUCAUCAAUCCCUACUGCGUCCAAUAUCAUGGCUUCUGUCAACCAGUACCAAUACAUCUGUUUAGCUUUGCUCUUCGUUUUGGCUGCUUGGGCAUCUCAAGCCACAGCCCGCAACCUUCAUGAAGCAUCAAUGUAUGAGAGACAUGAGGAUUGGAUGGUUCAGUAUGGGCGUGAAUAUAAGGAUGCUGAUGAGAAAAGCAAGCGCUACAAGAUAUUCAAGGAUAAUGUGGCACGUAUAGAAUCUUUCAACAAGGCCAUGGACAAAUCUUACAAGCUGAGCAUCAAUGAAUUUGCAGAUCUCACCAACGAAGAGUUCAGAGCCUCACGAAAUAGAUUCAAGGCCCACAUCUGUUCCACCGAGGCAACUUCUUUCAAAUACGAGAAUGUUACUGCAGUGCCAUCUACUGUCGAUUGGAGAAAGAAAGGAGCUGUUACACCCAUCAAGGACCAAGGCCAAUGCGGUAAGUGAAAAUAUUUUUGUAGUAUGGUUUGAAAUUGAUGUUUUUCUCACUCUUUUACGAUAAAAAAAUGCAGGGUCUUGCUGGGCAUUUUCGGCUGUGGCAGCUAUGGAAGGAAUUACUCAGCUAUCGACUGGGAAGCUAAUCUCUCUUUCUGAACAAGAGUUGGUUGACUGUGACACUAGUGGGGAGGAUCAAGGCUGCAGUGGUGGUCUAAUGGAUGAUGCCUUCAAAUUCAUCGAACAAAAUCAUGGUCUCACCACCGAAGCUAACUACCCCUACGCGGGAACUGAUGGCACCUGCAACCGCAAGAAGGCAGCCCACCCUGCAGCCAAGAUAAAUGGGUAUGAAGAUGUGCCAGCCAACAAUGAGAAGGCUUUACAAAAGGCUGUUGCCCACCAACCUAUUGCCGUUGCCAUUGAUGCUGGGGGGUCUGAGUUCCAAUUCUAUUCAAGUGGUGUGUUUACAGGACAGUGUGGCACAGAACUAGACCAUGGUGUUUCUGCGGUUGGUUACGGAACCAGCGAUGAUGGGAUGAAGUAUUGGCUGGUGAAGAACUCAUGGGGCACAGGAUGGGGCGAAGAAGGUUACAUACGGAUGCAGAGGGAUGUGACUGCAAAGGAAGGUCUCUGUGGAAUUGCAAUGCAAGCAUCUUACCCCACCGCAUAAAAUUAAUUGAAAAAAGGCAAUCCCUACUAUCCUGUGGUUAAUCAAUUACAAGAUAUGUUGCGCUGAUAAUUUCUAGUCUAUAGUUGUGUAUAAUUCAGCAAGGAUGCCCUGUGGUCAAAAGAGUCCAUAAAAUUAUGUAUGGACCAUAAUAUAUAAAUAUGAACGUACACCUUCAGUUGGUUCCUUCCUAUUUCUGUGUUUUGAAUGAGAAAUGACAGGGGAUCUCAUACUAAAAGUAUCAGACUAAAUAAAGAAAAAGAGUAAGGAUGGAAAAUGACACCCCAAAAAAAAUAAAGGGAAAAUUUUUGGUUAACAUUGCAAUUAGCCAAAACAAUUUCUUAACUUUAUGCAACACACAAAGAUCACCAAGAUAUCAUCAACAUACAUAAUGGAAAAUACAAAUUUUGCUUACCAACCUUUAGAUAUACACAACAAUCAACGGUGUUUCUUAAUUCAAAGGAAGUUACUAUAUCAUUCAACUUAAGAUACAAUUGUUGAGAGGCUUGAUUAUGUAGGGAGUACUUGGAUUACUCCAUUCCGUAUCCUAGGACUAGUUAAGGUGCAUGCAAUACUUCCUAGGGCCUCUAGAUCUUAGUAACAUAAUUAGCAACAAAUAUAAAAAAACAAUCAAGAUCUAGAGUUUAGCACUUUACCUCACAUCUGGGUGUUUCUAGAUAUAAUCCAGUUGGGGAAGAGGAAUGUCAAAGCUGUUGUAGUCGCUAUAGAUAUCGUGAACCCACUGAUCUUCUGCCAUGAUGAGUCUCUUUGAAUCUCAACACUAGAGGGGUGAAAUUCUCUCUUUAGGGUUGGUGGAUGACCUAUUAUGAAAUGUAUACACGAAUGCUGAUAAAAAGGACAAAGGCUAGCUACACAAUGUCUAAGCAUAAUGUGGCAUAUAUAGAAACUUUUGACAAUCCCAUGGACAAACUUGCAUGCUAAGAAUUAAUGAAUUUGCAAGUCUUACUGAUAAAAGAAUUCAUAGCCUCACAAAAUAUUUCAAAGUGCACAUUUGUUUUGUAGAAGCAACUUCUUUCAAAUACAAAGAUGUUAGUUCCAUCUAUAAUUAAAUAAAGGAAAAAUGAGUUGUUGUAAAGUUUUCUCUUAAUAAUUUUUUGUUAAUCAUUCAUGAAAGCAAAAAAUCAUAAUUCCAAAAUUUUUUUGAAUAUCAUGACUUUUACUAACAUAAAUAUAAUUAAGUUAUUAGAUAUACCUUGAUCCAUGAUUGAAACUUUGUUUCAAAUGAAGACCUUUGAACAUCAAUCCAUGGAAAAUUGAUACCUCUCUCUUAGCCCUAUUAAUUUUUUAUACAAUAAUAAUUAAUAUCAUUUAAUGAUGGAUCUAUUGCUUUUAUAGGUUGAGAGAGGACCAGAUUCAGAUCACAAACAACUUACUUUCCAUCAAAGUAAAAUUCCAUAAGGAAACAUUAAUGGAACACAAUACAAUAGACAAAUUCAUACUUAAAUAAGUUAUCAUAAAUAUUAUAGUUCAUUAGAAUACUAAUGUGAGUCAUGGCAGUUGUUUGUCAUUUACUGUAACACAUUUUCUUCUAUAUAUACAAACUAGCAAUCUAAGUAACUCGGUCUAUAAAUGGGAAGUAUUCAUAAAUGUCCACAAUAAUGUCUUUGUCACAUACUACUCCUAUUAUCAUUCAUUUAAUCUCUUAUGUGUACACAAAAGGGAAGAUAAGAAACAUCAAAACCACAUUAUUUACUUGAAAAUGUCACUUAAUUAAUAAUUGUUAGGAAUUUGAGGCUAAUCCAACUUAUGAUAAUCACCCUAGAGGGGGGAUGAAUAGGGUGAUGGUCUCUUUUUCACAAAUUUAAACUAUACAAAAAUAAGAGACAAUUAUAUGCAAGUAUAUAAUAAACAAGAGUUUAUAGUGGUUCGGCACUUCUUUGCCUAUGUCCACUCUCCUCAACCUCCUAACCAAGUGAGAGUUCCAUUAUCUUGAAGCUUCAACUAAGCUUCCAAUCUCUUUACAAUUGGAUUAUGGUUCCAAUUCACCUUCUUGGACUUUUGGCUCCAAACACCCUUUACACUUCUUCAAACAACCUCUCAAGUGAUACCCCUCACUUGAGAAAAUUCCUCACAAAGAUAUACAAAUAAUGAUCUUUCAAAAUCCUAGUAAUAGAACUUUAGGCUCAAAGAUACAAGAAAAACUAGGAUUGAAUGGUGCACUAAAGAUAUGCAAGUUAUGAAACAAUGGUGCACUCAAAAACACUCUUUCAAGGCUCAAAUAUAAUCAAGAAUGAUUUGGGAAGGUUAAGCUUAUGAAACAAUGAAGAUUGGAGCCUUUUUAUAGAAGAAAAAAGUCAAACUAGCCGUUAGGGGUUCAACCGGUCGAACUAGGGGUCAACCGGUUGACUAGCCGUUAGGAAAAGUGACCGUUGGGCCUCAACCGGACCUCGACCGGUUUAGGUUCAACCUUGACCGGAAAGAGAAGGCCACUGGGAGAGAGAAAAACUUUUUGGCAUCCCUCAACCGGUCCUCAACCGGACGAGCACAACCGGUUGAAUCGAUUGAGCCAUUUUUUGGCUCAACACCCAACCUUUUUCAACUUAAAACCUUUUAACACAAGUUUUGAAAAUCAUUUAAUACAAGGUUUUAGUUGAAAACAUGAAAUCAUCCAAUUCUUAAAAUAUUUAAAACAAUAUUACUCUUUAAUGAUUUUGGUGCAUAAAUAAAGAAUGAAAUGCAUGAAAGUCUUAGUGCACCAACAACCUUACAAAGAGAUCUUAUGAAGCUUUGGUCUUAAAAAACUCUUCUCUUUGAGGUGGUCUUCUUCUUCAUGAUUUCUCCUUAGCUUGAUUUUUCUUUAUGAUUGCCACUUUGGAAAUCGUCUUACCUAAUCACACUUGAAAUAUGAUCAUUAGUUCUAAACCUUAUUUUGUUAUCAUCAAAAUCAAGAUUAACCAAACCUUGAUUUCACAAUAAUCAUAAUGCAGAUCUACAAGUUAUUAUUUAAUAAUCACAACAAAGACUCAUCAUUUCCAUGUAUUCCUUAAAUGUCUCUGAUGGUAAUCUUUUCAUCAAUGGAUAAGCAAUCAUAAACUUUAGACUUACGUAUUUUAUUGGUACUCUUUGUUUUUAGGCCUCAUUUUUAAUGAUAAAUUAUUUCAAUUCUAUGAAUCUCACACCCUUAGAAUAUUUGUGAUUCUUGGAGAAAAAGAUAGUCAUAGAAUCAUCGCAAUAAAUUUUUAGACGCUUGACAAUAGAGUUGAUGAAUUUUAAGUUCUAAAAUAAUGCUCUACAACACCACAUUUCAUGAAUUGUAACCUCAAAGAAAUCAAAAGAUUUGAAUUCCAUAGUAGAUGAAGCUAUGACAAAAUAUUUCACACUUUUUCAUGAGAUUGCUCCUCUAGCUAGUUAGAGUAAAUAAACGAAAGUGGACUUUUUUCUAUCAAGACAUCUAGAAAAAUCUGAAUUUAAUAUCUAAUCACUCCUAAAUGAUCAAAUCUCUUAAAUUUGAGCAUGUACUCUUUCAUUCCUAAUAGAUACUUCAAUAUCUUCUUUGCAAUUUUUAAUGAUCCAUCCUUGGAUUACUUUAUUAUUUGCUCAACAUGCUUACCACAAAACUGAUGUUUAGAUUGUUGCAAGUUUGGGUAUACAUCAAACUUCCUACAACACAUAAAUGAGGGAUUCUUUCCAUUUGUUUGUAUUUUAAAUCAUUUCUUGCACAUUAUAUGAGACUGAACUUAUCGAUCCCUUUCUAUAUUAAUGCAAUAGUUGCGAAAUAAUUUUCCAUUCCAUAUCUUUCUAGGACUCUAUAUAUUCUUAUAUGCAUUUUGAGAUAAUCCUAAUAAUUCAUGUGACCUAUCCUAUAAUAUUUCAAUUCCAAUCACACAAGCUACCUCUCCCAUAUCUUUCAAAGAUUUUUAGAUGCUUAGUUGCCUAGAAUGUCUAUGAAAAUUGAGAAAAUUGGAAAUUUAGCAUCCUAAAUUAGUUUUAAAGGAAAUUAUUUAUAAAAAUAAUAAAUCAAACAAACAACUUUUUAUUUCUCUACUAUUUUCCUAGCAACCAAACAUAGUUUAAUGAAAACACAAAAACUAAGGGAAAAUAUGGAAGUAGAAAUACCAUGGAGAUAUUGAGUUUUCUUCUAUUUGUGUUGUUUGAGAGUAGGGUUGAGCUCCACACCCACCCCNNNNNNNNNNNNNNNNNNNNNNNNNNNNNNNNNNNNNNNNNNNNNNNNNNNNNNNNNNNNNNNNNNNNNNNNNNNNNNNNNNNNNNNNNNNNNNNNNNNNUCCCUCCCGAUGGGCUAUUAUAUUUCUUUCUAAUGAGUUUGGGGCAUAUAACUCUAAUGGGUUUAGGGCAUUAUAUCCUGAGUUGUUUCCUUACAAAUUUGUAAUCACCAUGCAAUCCUAGGAGAAAGAGGAAUAUGAUGAAGGUCAUUCGUCUAUCUUCUCUACGAUGGUGUUGCAGUGUCCUUUGGUGGGUUUAGGGCUAUGAAACAGUACCCCCAUUUUAAUCAAAGGUAGGUUUGGAUUUAAUCAGACUUAGUUAAUGUUUGGUUUUAAUGUUUUGGAGAACAUGUUGCCAUGUUAGCAACCAAUCAACUAUUAUAUGAAAUAUGAUGUGACAUCUUAUAAGGGUAUUUUUUACCCUUACUUUUUAUAGCAUUCACAUCAAUUAUGGAAUUUAUGUGGAUGUUGGACUAAUUAUUACCUCCUUCUAUCCCUAAAGUAUAUGAUAUUCCAAUAAUUUUGCUCCAAUAUAGGUCGUGAUUUGCUUUCAACGCCCUCUUAUGAAAUCUAUGGAAUAUCGUGAUAAUACACUAAAAUUCUUUUCCAAUGGUUGGGCAUUCAAUCAUCAAGCAUCCAUUGUUUUAUAUGAUGAGAAACCAUUCUCUUAUAUUUAUGGAUGACACGGUACGGUGAUGCACCAAAGAGGACAAGAACAUCCUCCUAAUAGCACGUAGUUCAACACUAGAGCAAUUAAUACAAAAAGAAAACAUCCUAAACUACAAAUAAUUUAGGAUUCCGUACACGAACUAGCUAGAGAUUUAUAUAUACACAAGAGAACAAUUCUAGUAAUAAUUUAACCAACUAAUAUUAAACAAAGUAGCUGAUGGAGAUGGGUCCAAAUCACAACAUUUUAAUUUCCAAGGCACGUAGAUAAGCGUAUUGAAGGUUUUCCUUGGCGGUAUUAUUUGAGAUCAGUGUGUUAUGGGAGGGAAUUUUUCCUAUAUAAACCCCUGCUGGAAUCUCCGAGUGUAUCAAUCUGCUUACUCAUUUAAUUCAUCAAUCCCUACUGCUUCCAAUAUCAUGGCUUCUGUCAACCAGUACCAAUACAUCUGUUUGGCUUUGCUCUUCGUUUUGGCUGCUUGGGCAUCUCAAGCCACAGCCCGCAGCCUUCAUGAAGCAUCAAUGUAUGAGAGACAUGAGGAUUGGAUGGUUCAGUAUGGGCGUGAAUAUAAGGAUGCUGAUGAGAAAAGCAAGCGCUACAAGAUAUUCAAGGAUAAUGUGGCACGUAUAGAAUCUUUCAACAAGGCCAUGGACAAAUCUUACAAGCUGAGCAUCAAUGAAUUUGCAGAUCUCACCAACGAAGAGUUCAGAGCCUCACGAAAUAGAUUCAAGGCCCACAUCUGCUCCACCGAAGCAACUUCUUUCAAAUACGAGAAUGUUACUGCAGUGCCAUCUACUGUCGAUUGGAGAAAGAAAGGAGCUGUUACACCCAUCAAGGACCAAGGCCAAUGCGGUAAGUGAAAAUAUUUUUGUAGUAUGGUUUGAAAUUGAUGUUUUUCUCACUCUUUUACGAUAAAAAAAAUGCAGGGUCUUGCUGGGCAUUUUCGGCUGUGGCAGCUAUGGAAGGAAUUACUCAGCUAUCGACUGGGAAGCUAAUCUCUCUUUCUGAACAAGAGUUGGUUGACUGUGACACUAGUGGGGAGGAUCAAGGCUGCAGUGGUGGUCUAAUGGAUGAUGCCUUCAAAUUCAUCGAACAAAAUCAUGGUCUCACCACCGAAGCCAACUACCCCUACGCGGGAACUGAUGGCACCUGCAACCGCAAGAAGGCAGCCCACCCUGCAGCCAAGAUAAAUGGGUAUG
rnacentral:lncRNA from 1 species